rnacentral:rRNA from 1 species
GACGAACGCUGGCGGCGUGCUUAACACAUGCCAGUCGAACGAUGAAGCCUAGCUUGCUAGGUGGAUUAGUGGCGAACGGGUGAGUAAUACGUUAGUGACCUACCUUUGACUCUGGGAUAAGCCUGGGAAACUGGGUCUAAUACCGGAUACGCCCAAUCUCCGCAUUGGGUGUUUUUGGAAAGCGUUAUGGAGUGGUUUUAGAUGGGCUCACGGCCUAUCAGCUUGUUGGUUAGGUAAUGGCUUACCAAGGCGACGACGGGUAGCCGGCCUGAGAGGGUGACCGGCCACACUGGGACUGAGACACGGCCCAGACUCCUACGGGAGGCAGCAGUGGGGAAUAUUGCACAAUGGGCGCAAGCCUGAUGCAGCGACGCCGCGUGAGGGAUGACGGCCUUCGGGUUGUAAACCUCUGUUAGCAUCGAAGAAGCGAAAGUGACGGUAGGUGCAGAGAAAGCGCCGGCUAACUACGUG